GGCGGCGUGCUUAACACAUGCAAGUCGAACGCUGAAGCACCAGCUUGCUGGUGUGGAUGAGUGGCGAACGGGUGAGUAAUACGUGAGUAACCUGCCCUUGACUCUGGGAUAAGCCCGGGAAACUGGGUUAAUACUGGAUGCUACAUGUCACCGCAUGGUGGUGUGUGGAAAGGGUUUACUGGUCUUGGAUGGGCUCACGGCCUAUCAGCUUGUUGGUGAGGUAAUGGCUCACCAAGGCGACGACGGGUAGCCGGCCUGAGAGGGUGACCGGCCACACUGGGACUGAGACACGGCCCAGACUCCUACGGGAGGCAGCAGUGGGGAAUAUUGCACAAUGGGCGAAAGCCGUGAUGCAGCGACGCCGCGUGAGGGAUGACGGCCUUCGGGUUGUAAACCUCUUUCAGC
rnacentral:rRNA from 1 species